AAGCCAUACAUUGGCUGCGAAGUAGAAUCCUAGAAGAAUCCCCUUGAACAUCAGAACAGAGGUCAGUAAUUUGACUUAAUUUUCAGUGAUUUCCCUUAUUGUUCUGGUAGCAGGUGAAUUUUACCUGAAAUAGUAAACAUGGUAGAAUAGUCUGGUGACUGAAGGACCUUCCAAUGUCACUUAAAAUACUUGCAAUAACCAGCAUCAAAGUUACAUGGAGCAUAUGAGCCCAAAUAAUACCUGUUACAAAAUGCCUUUUGUAACUGUUUCUUUAAGUGACAAAUUGCCCUACUUCCCUGUAUUAUGGAGAAGCCUUAUUGCCAGCCUCCUUCCUCAUGACUAUGGACCUGAGGUGUAUGGCCCUUUAAGAACAGUAUUUGGGCAUAAUGGAUUUUUAUUGUGCUGCUGCUGGCCCUUUAAGAACCGUCUGGGGACAUAUUGAGACUUUGUGGAACAAUGCCCCUUUAAGACUGUGUCCCCAGUCACCUAAAAUACUUUGUACCCUUUUCCUACUUGGUUCAUUAAAUGGGGCUUACUGAACCAAGUACCACACAGGCGGACCACCCAGAAGUGGAAGCGUGCAGGAAUUUACCUCCCAGGCUGGGAGCCUGCUGUAGGUAAUUGCCGACCUCUGGGUGGCUGCAGUUCGUGCAAACGAACACGUGGCGGUGGCCAUCUUUGUUCAUUCGAACGAGGUCAGCGGUAUGUGUAGCCAAAUCCAUGGAACUGAAAUCGGCUACACAUUUCAACGAACACAGAUGACCCUUACCUUCUUCUCCACUCAGUUUCAGCUACAGAGUCUAAGUCCUGUUCGGCAGUUUGAAUUCACUGCUAUACUGAGCCAAUUGCACAAACGGCCCCGUUUGUACAUUCAAAUGGAACUUAGUCAUUUUUUUGCCUGAAAUAGACCGGCCGCACAGCCCAAAUCUAUGGAACUGUUUUGUGCAGGAAAAUAUGCUUGCGGUCGGUCAUAAAGGACUUCCGUCUAACUUUUUAUCUACUGGAGGGAUUUGUAUGAUUUUUGAGAGUGUUUAUGUUUAAAGUGUGCUGUGUAUGAAUAUGUAAUUUUCAUGAAGAUUGAAUGUUUAUUUUUAAAGUUACAGUACAUGUGUAAAACUGUAUUUUUCCUGCCUGUGAUAAUUAUGUUAACCCACUGUGUACCAUAAUUAUAUCACAGGCAAAGGGGAGGAUUUUGUGUGUAACUGCUGGGAGUGUUUUACUGUAAUGUACGUGUGUUAUUGGUUGUUCUGCAAAACCCUGUGGGCGGUCUUGUAUGUGUAAGACCUUCAUAAAAGAAAACCCUUUGGGGCCAAUUAAAGAGAACUACUUGACCCUCUAAAUUGCAGCCUCGACUCAUGUUUGUAGGGGACAGCUAUAAUCACUACAGGGAUUGCUAUGCUCUUCAUACUCCCUUAGCUACUGAGCUCUUGUAAGAGCUCUUGUUCCUGAUCCUGCUUCGCUCUACAGAAGGAAGAGGUUCACCUACUGGAACCUGGAGCCCGGUCGUAGGUCCAGGGUGGAUAGCAGACGGCGAGAUCCCAGCCCAGCAGCGGCGGUUCGUGGAGUCUGCUGGGAUCUUGCCGUGCUGAUGGUCCUUUAGUGAGUGCUAGGAGCAUCCUUUCUACGGUCCAACUUCCAGCCAGCCUGGAGGCAACCUUAGCAAUACCUUUCAUUGCAGAAAGGAAAUUAUAAUGUUUCACUUCACAACAGGGGGAUCUGUGGGAAAUUCUGAUACUUAACUCCUUAAGAACCAAACGAAUGCCAGCACUGACAUUAAAUGGAUUGCCAAACUCAAGGUCCUCAAGGGAUAAAAUAGCAGAAUAUUAAAUAAAACAAAAAGCAGAUUCUUCAAAUUAUAAAGACUAUGCAUUAAGUAAGUUAACUCAGUUCUAAAGAAUAUUCUAAAACCUCCAGAGCAUUGAGCUGAAAUCUGAAUAAUUAUAAAACAGACCAGGAUUAGUGAAUAAAAGAAAAAACAUGAUCACUAAAGUUAUCACAGAGUGAAACUAAAGGCCAAUAUCAACAGAUUUAAAAUCAAAGUUAAAUUAGAUUAAAGACAGUAAAGCUCUAGAUUGUGUUAGAUCUAUAUUCUUUCACACAUAUAUAUAUAUAUAUAUGAAACCAAUAUACACUGCUCAAAAAGGGAACACAAAAAUAACACAUCCUAGAUCUGAAUGAAUUCAAUAUUCUUCUGAAAUACUUUGUGCUUUACAUAGUUGAAUGUGCUGACAACAAAAUCACACAAAAAUUAAAAAAUGGAAAUCAAAUUUUUCAACCCAUGGAGGUCUGGAUUUGGAGUCACACUCAAAAUUAAAGUGGAAAAACACACUACAGGCUGAUCCAACUUUGAUGUAAUGUCCUUAAAACAAGUCAAAAUGAGGCUCAGCAGUGUGUGUGGCCUCCACAUGCCUGUAUAACCUCCCUACAACGCCUGUGCAUGCUCCUGAUGAGGUGGCGGAUGGACUCCUAAGGGAUCUCCUCCCAGACCUGGACUAAAGCAUCUGGAUGGUGGAUGGAGCGAGACAUGAUGUCCCAGAUGUGCUCAAUUGGAUUCAGGUCUGGGGAACGGGCGCGCCAGUCCAUAGCAUCAAUGUCUUCGUCUUGCAGGAACUGCUGACACACUCCAGCCACAUGAGGUCUAGUAUUGUCUUGCAUUAGGAGGAACCCAGGGCCAACCGCACCAGCAUAUGGUCUCACAAGGGGUCUGAGGAUCUCAACUCGGUACCUAAUGGCAGUCAGGCUACCUCUAGCGAGCACAUGGAGUGCUGUGCGGCCCCCGAAAGAAAUGCCACCCCACACCAUUACUGACCCACUGCCAAACCGGUCAUGAAGGAGGAUGUUGCAGGCAGCAGAACGUUCUCCACGGCGUCUCCAGACUCUGUCACGUCUGUCACAUGUGCUCAGUGUGAACCUGCUUUCAUCUGUGAAGAGCACAGGGCGCCAGUGGCGAAUUUGCCAAUCUUGGUGUUCCCUGGCAAAUGCCAAACGUCCUGCACAGUGUUGGGCUGUAAGCACAACCCCCACCUGUGGAUGUCGGGCCCUCAUACCACCCUCAUGGAGUCUGUUUCUGACCGUUUGAGCAGACACAUGCACAUUUGUGGCCUGCUGAGGUCAUUUUGCAGGGCUCUGGCAGUGCUCCUCCUGUUCCUCCUUGCACAAAGGCAGAGGUAGCGGUCCUGCUGCUGGGUUGUUGCCCUCCUACGGCCACGUCUCCUGAUGUACUGGCCUGUCUCCUGGUAGCGCCUCCAUGCUCUGGACACUACGCUGACAGACACAACAAACCUUCUUUCCACAGCUCGCAUUGAUGUGCCAUCCUGGAUGAGCUGCACUACCUGAGCCACUUGUGUGGGUUGUAGACUACGUCUCAUGCUACCACUACAGUGAAAGCACCGCCAGCAUUCAAAAGUGACCAAAACCUCAGCCUGGAAGCAUAGGAACUGAAAAGUGGUCUGUGGUCACUACCUGCAGAACCACUCCUUUAUUGGAGGUGUCUUGCUAAUUGCCUAUAAUUUCCACCUGUUGUCUAUCCCAUUUGCACAACAGCAUGUGAAAUAUGAUUGUCACUCAGUGUUGCUUCCUAAGUGGACAGUUUGAUUUCACAGAAGUGUGAUUGACUUGGAGUUACAUUGUGUUGUUUAAGUGUUCCCUUUAUUUUUUUGAGCAGUGUAUAUAAAAACUCUCUGAAACUAUGUUUACAGCUGCACGGUUAACACUGAGCUGAAGUGGUCUGGGUGGCUAUAGUGGUCCUUUAAACAGAAAUAUUUCUGCAUAGUCAGAGCACAUAAAUCAAUACAUAUGGAUAUAUACAAUAUACAUGUCAUCAUAAGGUUAUAAUUCAUAAGUUAUUAUCUAUAAUAUUUUUAAAUAAAUACACACAAUACCUUAAUAUAUACAGUGGUAACUCGGUUUACGAAUUUAAUGCGUUCUCCGGGACGUUUUGUAUUGCGAAAAAUUAAUAAACCGAAACGUGGUUUCCUAUAGGAAUGCAUUGAAAACCAAUUAAUCUGUUCCGGAGGUCAGAAAAAAGUAAAAAUGAGCUGGCAUAAAAAUCAACCCAUAAUGCAGAACACAAAGUAAAAUACAUGCAAAUGACAAAGCUCAGCACCCUAACUUUCAACCGCUUGAGAAAUGCACCAAAAAAGUUCCAAAAAGUCCCAAAACCCCUGAAUUUUUUUUCCAGAAUGGCUCCAAAACUCAUUGCAAAAACCGCUCCAACACCUCCACACUCAAUGCCACGUGCUACCUACAAACUCCAGCAUGCACGGUGGUGGCGCUAUAAACCUCCCAGGAGCAAUGCAUCCUGGGGAAGCUUGCUUCGUAUUGCAAAAAAAAUUUGUAAACGAGGCAUUAUUUUCAAUGGAUUUUCAUUUGUAAACCGAAAAUUAUGUUUACCAAGGCAUUUGUAAAUCGAGGUACCACUAUAUAUAUACACAUAUAUUUGUACCAGAAACAUAAUAGUAGUAUGUAUCAAUUGGUGGUGGUGAUAAAUCGGUUAUGGUGUGCCAAAACCAACGUAUGAGUAGGCUUGUAAAUAGGAGAGGGCCCACCAAGGAAAAGAGUGGAAUAAAUGAAUUAAAUAAGAGGUGAGGUGGAUGGGAUGACCUGAAACGGAACAUCCCAAGUAAGAGGGGGGAUAAGAUUUUUUAUAGGACAACCGCUUCCCACAUAUAAAUACCUUGGGCCUUGAAACUUGUGGUCGUAAACAUGAUAGUAGUAUGUAUCAAUUGGUUUUGGUGAUAAGUCAGUUUGUGGUGUGCAUUAAUCCAUAAAAGCAAAUAUAUAUAUUUCAUUUUUUAGUUUAUUUUGACCCAGAGUUUUCAAUUUAAAAAUCCAUUUGGUGUCUUUUAUCUCAAGGAUGAAGCAAUACGAUGUAUGAGUCAGGGUAUGCACAGAAUAAAAUAACUUAUUUUAUAAAUAUUAUUGUAACUUAAUCAAGCAAAAAUAGAAAUACAAGGAAACAAUCAAAUCAUUAUCAAAUGAAACAGGCAAAAGCCAAUGUCCAAAACUUCCAACAAAGAGAAAGGAGUCUUUGCCUACAUGUUUAAUUUUGUUAAAGAAGUGUAAAUAAUAAUAUAAAAACAUUUUUUUAUUAUUUUAUUUGAUGUCAUGUUAUUUUAAUGUAUUUUAUUACCCUUUUUCAUAAUUUCUUUUUUUUUGUAUUUUCUUUACUUCAACAUAUUUAAUUAAUGCAUAUUUUAUUUUCUAAAUUCAUUUCUGAACUAUAAUUAACGAUUAAUAUAUGCUCCUUGUCAUCCUGCUGAAUGUAACCACUGACUCACACCUACUCCCCCUGUCAAAACUGAAAAGUGAGGUUACCUUGAAACAUAACGAUUGAUUUCACUACUUGCAAAUUUUAUCAAGUCACUAUCCCCCUGUAUCAAUCUCUACCAACAACUCUUCACCUUUGAAUCAUAUUGACAUAGCCAGGGGAGACUUACCAGGAACAUCUCUGUCUUACAUUUAAUUUUUUUUUAACCCCUGUCGCACCUGUGCCCCCCAAAUGGGAAACUGCCCUAGGUGGUGUUGUUACUGAAGAAGAAUAGUUCAAAAUGUAACAAAUAACCCACAAAACUUCUGUUCCCUCCCAAUGCUAUUACACCCCCAUACUCCUACACAAAUUCAACAUCCCGAAUUCAUGCUGAAGAUGCCAAGGUACAGUAGGCACCCAGUUUCACAUCUGGUGGGAGUGCACUGAUAUCGUACUAUACUGCAAGUCCAUACAUUCAAUCAUGAAACAAAUUAUGAAAGAUUCAGUGCCACUGCAACUGGCUAAAAUGCUGCUCCAUUACACUCUUAUGUCUUCUGGGGGCAAAGAGGUGCUUCAAUGCUCUGUCAGUGGAGAUCAGGAAAAUAGAGGCCUUAAUAGCUUCAAUAUAUAAGAGAACCAAAACAUUUCUAUACAACAUGACUUCCCUGGCAGGACUACAUGUCCAAGCUAAAGGUCCCAGGCUAAGUCUUGUUAUAACCAUUGAUAUAGGGGCAUCCUUCUCCCCCCGGCUGAGUCUUCUUCUCUUAGGAACAUUUUUCCUUACCAGCACCUCACCCUCUAUUUUCUCCCUUCCCCAGUAUCUCCCCGUCCCCCCUCCUCAGAUAACUGGCAUACAAUACGAGAGUUGAGUUUGUCAAAUAGUUCAGUUUUCAUGUGGGAAAUGUCCCCUUACGAUAUCUCUCCACUGAUCAUCAAUGCUGGACCUUUCCUGUAGAUAUAUAUGCCUUGUUUGUCUACCACCUUUCCUACCUUUGUAUUGUAUCCACUCACUUUGCCAUUUACAAAAUCUCAAUAAACAUUAAUUGACCAAAAAAAAAUAUUAUUUGAACUAUAAUUAAAUAUAUACUGUGUGGGGGUUGAGAAUUAGUGUGAUUUUUUAAACAGAUGAUUUACAUGGCUUUGUUCUCUAGGGUUGAUGCUGCCACCCUGGAAUCUUCGAUUAGAGGGAUCAUUUGACAGGAGAUGGGCGAUCUCUGACGUGAACUCAACUGCCUGAAGAACAGAGUUACGACUCUAGAAGUCACAAUUGGUUGCUACCUGCCCUUUGGUUGCAGCUGGUCCCUCCUUCCCACUAGAGUUGGUUAGGAUGUGUAGAGAUCUGCCAGAUGGAGGAGCACAUGGCCGCACUGACUGGUUGCUUAGACAAAUACCAAGAAGUAUGGAGAUCCUGGCAAUCUUAACGUUAAUUGAAAACCUUGAAUACAAUUUUGGGUGAGGCUGGAAAUAUAGGGCAUAAAAUCUAAUAUAAUUUUUUUAUGACAAUCACUUGUUCCCCAACAUAAGGAAUAUAUUGACACAAUAUUAAUGAUGCUUAUUAAUAUUUAUAAAGCGUCAACAAAUUCUGUAGUGCUGUACAAUAGGUUGACUAAAAGACAUGUAUUUGCAAGAAGACGAGCUGGAUGCACAUGAGGGUGUUGAAGGUCCUGGUCAAACGAACUUACAUUCUACAGGGAGUUGGGUAAAGUGGCACAAGAGGUAAGGGAAGGAUGUAUUUCAUAUAUGGGAAAAGUAAGUUUCUAGAACAGUGAAUGGUUAGUUUUUUGGAUGACACAGUUGCAGGAGAGGAAGCAAGGUAGGUAACCAAGGUGCGGGGGCAGGAAAGCUGUUAACAAUUAAUUUGAUAUGUUUUUUUUAAAGAAGUGAGUUUUUAAUGAUCUUUUGAAGGAGCAAAGGGGGCAAAGGUUUAAAAAUAAUAUUAGGAAGUAUUACUUUACUGAGAGGGUAGUAGUGGAUGCAGGGACUAGCCUUCCAGCUGAAAUGGUAGAGGUUAACACAGUGAAGGAGUUUAAGCAUUCCUGGGUAGACAUAAGGCUAUCCUACAUAUAAGAUAAGGCCAGGGGCUAAUGAAAGUAUUUAGAAAAUUGGGCAGACUAGAUGGGCUGAAUGGUUCUUAUCUGCAGCAGUAUGUAAAGGAGCAGCAUUAUGUAAAGAUUUUGUAAGCAAGCACCAGAAUUUUAAAUUGAGCCCUAUAUCUUACAGGAAAGCAGUAUAAGGACUGACAGAGAAGUGAGGCAUGGGAGGUGCAGGCAGUGGCGGAUCUCGGGGUCAUCCCACUCCCCCCGAGAAAAUAGUGCAGCUGCCAUCGUUUGAGCUACCUCAUUAGGGGCUCGGUCGGGUGCUGCAGCCCUUUGGCAGACCGGGCCCCUUGAAAGUUACAGGGAGUGCUGGGAGGAAGUGACUGUUACUUCCUCCCAGCAUACAGACCGCGCGGGCUGAGAAGACACAGGAUGCAGCUGAGAGAG
rnacentral:lncRNA from 1 species